CACCGCGGUUAUACGAGCGGGCCCCAGUUGAUACAAUCCGGCGUAAAGGGUGGUUAGUAACAUUUUUACUAAAGCCGAACAACUUCAAAGCAGUUAUAAGCCCUUGGAGACAGGAAGCCCGCCCACGAAGGUGGCUUUAAAAACUACGACCCCACUAGAGCUAGGGAA
rnacentral:rRNA from 1 species